rnacentral:SRP_RNA from 1 species
CCGUGCUAGACGGGGAACUGGCGGUGCCCUAUGCCCGCAAUCCGCCAUAGCGGGGUUGAAUUCCCCUCCGAGGGUUAUGACCCCUCGAGACUGCCACCUCGACUGGUGUUGAGGAUCGGGUCCUGCGCGGCAGGAACCUUCGAAUCCCGUCAGGUCCGGGAGGAAGCAGCGGUAAGGAGUCAUUCCUGGGCGCCGCAGGGCAACCUGAUCCGAGCUGGUUGAGGAUGGCAAGUUGAGGCAGGUACAACUCGACGAGGGGUGCACGG